rnacentral:lncRNA from 1 species
CUAGUAUAAUUAAUGGAUUUAUUUUGAUUCAUCACAUUUGUUCUAUUUCUCCUUGUGACCAACUGAAUGAAUAAAAGAAAUCUGAUUGGGAUUCAGGGCGUGUUCUACAAUCAUUAAAAACAUUCAGCUAACUUGUUUGAACAAAAUCUCACUCUGUCACCCAGACUAGAGUGCAACUGGUACAAUCUCGACUCACUGCAACCUCCGCCUUCCGGGUCCAAGCGAUUCUCCCACCUCAGUUCUUCACUUUUUCGGAAACAACGAUAGCACAUAGCAGCCAGAGUGAAAGGAAUACAGAGCCAGAGUCCAGAUCAG